rfam:Natranaerobius thermophilus JW/NM-WN-LF, complete genome.
GGGCGGAUAGCUCAGCUGGGAGAGCACCUGCCUUACAAGCAGGGGGUCACAGGUUCGAGCCCUGUUCCGCCCA